UGGGUAGAAACAACAAUAGACAAUCAAUCAGCAGACCUGAAUUUAAGAGUCAGCUCUGCAGUAAACUCUAUAACCAGGUAACCUCAGUACAGCACAGACAGAUUUGGGGACCUCUCAUUCUGUGGCAGUCCUGGAGAACCUCUACAAGAAGAUCAAGCAGGAACAACUGAAGGGAAAUUAAUGAACCUUUGGCCCUGAAGAUCACACUCUGAUAUCUAGAUGACCCUUGCUUCACCUCCAUAAAAAAGGAAUAACAGGAAGCCCGAUGUGAAUGACAGAGAUGCAGCAAGGUUUUGGCUUUGCAUUUACUCCUUCCAGCUUCUAGGCAGGUGUACCAGGUAAGUGCAGCAGCGUUCUGAAAGCUGUGAAUAAACACGCGAGAAUAUUACACAGGUAAGUCCUCUAACGUAUCGUGCGUUUUUAUGAUCUUAGUAUGAGAAUAACCAUGUCAAAAUGAUUUUUCCUACCUUGUAGCUAUCUAGUAAGAGAAGGGGGAUUUUGAAGAGAGCUCAAAACCAUCUUUGGAGUGGUGAAUGAGGUUUAGAAAUGCCAUGGCAUAAAACUGCUAUUACUGAACCCAAAUUAUUGAAUGUAACAUACCAAGUUAUAGCUGGUAUUAGUGAGGAUGGGGGUUGGAAAUGACCUUCCAGGAACACUGUUGACUCAUAUAAGAAAAGUACAUUUGCCAUAGUUACCAUUUAGCAAGUUAUACCCAACAGAUGGUUCAAGCCUUUUGACACCAUUGAAAAUCAUGCCACUUAAGUAAAUUUCUUGGGAUUUAUCUUCUUUGUUUUAUUUUACCCCCAACUCUUCCAGCUUGUGUCAUAUCAAAUUAUUCCCAUAGCUUUUA